rnacentral:rRNA from 1 species
AACGAACGAUGGCGGGAGGACGAACACAUGCAAGUCGAGCGGACCCUUCGGGGUUAGCGGCGGACGGGUGAGUAACGCGUGGGAAUAUGCCCUUCUCUACGGAAUAGUCCUGGGAAACUGGGGGUAAUACCGUAUACGCCCUUUGGGGGAAAGAUUUAUCGGGGAAGGAUUAGCCCGCGUUGGAUUAGGUAGUUGGUGGGGUAAUGGCCUACCAAGCCGACGAUCCAUAGCUGGUUUGAGAGGAUGAUCAGCCACACUGGGACUGAGACACGGCCCAGACUCCUACGGGAGGCAGCAGUGGGGAAUCUUAGACAAUGGGGGCAACCCUGAUCUAGCCAUGCCGCGUGAGUGAUGAAGGCCUUAGGGUUGUAAAGCUCUUUCAGCUGGGAAGAUAAUGACGGUACCAGCAGAAGAAGCCCCGGCUAACUCCGUG